rnacentral:ncRNA from 1 species
GAUAACAGGCUUAUCGCGCCCAAGAGUUCAUAUCGACGGCGCGGUUUGGCACCUCGAUGUCGGCUCGUCGCAUCCUGGGGCUGGAGCAGGUCCCAAGGGUUUGGCUGUUCGCCAAUUAAAGCGGCACGCGAGCUGGGUUCAGAACGUCGUGAGACAGUUC